rnacentral:rRNA from 1 species
AACGAACGCUGGCGGCAUGCCUAACACAUGCAAGUCGAACGAGACCUUCGGGUCUAGUGGCGCACGGGUGCGUAACGCGUGGGAACCUGCCCUUAGGUUCGGAAUAACUCCCCGAAAGGGGUGCUAAUACCGGAUAAUGUCUUCGGACCAAAGAUUUAUCGCCUUUGGAUGGGCCCGCGUUGGAUUAGCUAGUUGGUAGGGUAAAAGCCUACCAAGGCGACGAUCCAUAGCUGGUCUGAGAGGAUGAUCAGCCACACUGGGACUGAGACACGGCCCAGACCCCUACGGGGGGACGGAGGGGGGAAAUUUGGACAAUGGGCGAAAGCCUGAUCCAGCAAUGCCGGGGGAGUGAUGAAGGCCUUGGGGUUGUAAAGCUCUUUUACCCGGGAUGAUAAGGACAGUACCGGGAAAAAAAGCCCCGGCAAACCCGGU